CCUCUUAGCUUUUUAAGUAUGUUUACGGUAUACAUUAUCUGUAAAAUCAGACCGGGUCGAGGGGGGGAGUAAAGAUCUUUCUGCGAUAGCCAGGACAUUGUCCUUCUUGACAUCUGUGUUGCUGGCGGACAGGAUAUCCUGCCAAAUGUAAUAAGACAACUGUGUGACCCACCUUGUGAGAGAGGCACCACUAACUGAUUAGAGCACAGCAGGAGUGGGUGCUGAUUCUUCUAGCCCUGUGCUACAUCCUCUACACAGAAAAAAAAGAAGAAGAAAACUCCCUUACAGAAGGGAAAGGAAAGAAAAGGCCCAGUUUAGCAGAGUAACGGAUUAAACCACCUGGCAAUCCUGGCAAGAAAAGAAGAAAAAUCUUAGGCUGUGACAAACCAAACCAGGUGUAACAGAUGGAUCCAGUACAAAACCAUACUCUGCAAUGAAACAAUAUCCACCAUUUGCUGCUUUCUAGAGCUGCAACAAAAUGGUGGCAAAGACAGAAUGCACACAUCUUUCUCCCUUCCUUCCACAUGCUCCCUACCUGGUUCAUGAUCCGGACACACUCAGAAUGUCACUUGGUUUUAUUUUUAAUUGUUUUGGGAGAGAGGACUUCUAUAAAGGAUGUGAAAAGAGACACUGUGGUUUGAAAAUAGCAGCUUAUUUCCUUACUAGCAUGAAUACAGAAUGUCAAAGCUAAUUUUCUCGUCAACUUAAACAUUAUCUAAAGAAUUGCAAACGCAGUUGGAUACACAGGACUUGAGCCUCUUCUCACACAGCCUGGUUUGACAGCAGCGUAAAUCCAUUGUCAGAUUUACACCAGAAUAAAUGAGAUCUGAAUCUGGUUCUGAAUUAUUGGAGAGCCAAAGAUCUGAUAGUAAAAAUCCAACUAAAAGUACAUAAAUCUGCAGGUUCUUUUGACCCUGCAGUUCCUGGCACCAUACCAAGUAGAAAUCUGCAGUUGCACUUUCUGUGAUUCUAACACCUUGUUAUCAUUAUGGAACAUAACAAAAGCCUACGUUGAGUUAUCUAAAUGAAAUAAAUCUACUGGACUUCCACUGCUGGAUUUUAUGAGAUGUGUGUAUACAGUAAGUAAGAUAUAUUUAAAAAAAUCUUUUUACCAAGUUUGAGCACGCAUCUGUUGAAGACAGAGGACCUAAUUCUCAUGUAUGUUAAGGCCACUUUGCAC